rnacentral:rRNA from 1 species
GACGAAGGGGGCUAGCGUUGUUCGGAAUUACUGGGCGUAAAGCGCGUGUAGGCGGUUGUCCAAGUUGGAUGUGAAAGCCUUGAGCUCAACUCAAGAAAUGCAUUCAGGACUGGAUGACUAGAGGACCGGAGAGGAUAGUGGAAUUCCCAGUGUAGUGGUGAAAUACGUAGAGAUUGGGAAGAACACCAGUGGCGAAGGCGGCUAUCUGGACGGUUUCUGACGCUGAGGCGCGAAAGCCAGGGGAGCGAACGGG